GUCCACGCCGUAAACGAUGGGCACUAGAUGCUGGGGGAUCGACCCUCUCGGUGUCGUAGCUAACGCGUUAAGUGCCCGCCUGGGGAGUACGGCCGCAAGGCUGAAACUCAAAGGAAUUGACGGGGGCCCGCACAAGCGGUGGAGCAUGUGGUUUAAUUCGAAGCAACGCGAAGAACCUUACCUGGGCUUGACAUCCUGGUGAAAGUCUGGUGAAAGCCAGACCCUCCUUCGGGACACCAGGACAGGUGCUGCAUGGCUGUCGU
rnacentral:rRNA from 1 species